GAAGAAUUCAGGAUAAUGAGCAAGCAAGUUAAACCUCGGUAAUGCUUAAAGAUCAUUACCACGAGGAUCAAACGUAUCCCACACAAGUUCUCUCCAAAGGAAUGGACUAAAGGAUCGUUUGAAGAGACUCCUGUGGUAAGCCCCAAAGGCAAGGUGACUGAGUAGCAGGAGGAAGGUUGAAAGAGGAGAAAAAUAUACAAGUCGCGGUUUAUGCGCCGCUCGCACCGGGACGCCAGCCGCCUCGAUAGGUGACCGCCAAUUUACAAGCAGCUGAAGGACUACGACAUGCUUAUUUUCAGCAUCGUUUUAUCAAGACUCUUUGGACUGGGCAUGGAGGUCGGCUCCAAACUCUGCAGCGACAGCAACAUCGGAGGUGACGCGGCCUCUUCGUUUUCUUCCGUGACAUUCAAGCCGUUUGGUUUUAAUGAUGGGUGGAAAUGACGCAGUUACACACUUCAGUGGGAGCACAACUCGGAAUUACAAGGAAAAUACUGCAGCAGCUACACAAAACGAGAAGUCUAGGAAUCAACUCAUUUGUUCUGUUUUUUUUGCUUUUUA